UACGGAGGGUGCGAGCGUUAAUCGGAAUUACUGGGCGUAAAGCGAGCGUAGGCGGUCUGAUCAGCCGGUUGUGAAAGCCCCGGGCUCAACCUGGGAACGGCAUCCGGAACUGUCAGGCUAGAGUGCAGGAGAGGAAGGUAGAAUUCCCGGUGUAGCGGUGAAAUGCGUAGAGAUCGGGAGGAAUACCAGUGGCGAAGGCGGCCUUCUGGACUGACACUGACGCUGAGGUGCGAAAGCGUGGGUAGCAAACAGGAUUAGAUACCCCGGUAGU
rnacentral:rRNA from 1 species